rnacentral:misc_RNA from 1 species
GAUGAAGAACGCAGCGAAAUGCGAUAAGUAAUGUGAAUUGCAGAAUUCAGUGAAUCAUCGAAUCUUUGAACGCACAUUGCGCCCUUUGGUAUUCCAAAGGGCAUGCCUGUUCGAGCGUCAUUUGUACCUUCAAGCUUUGCUUGGUGUUGGGCGUUUUUUGUCUCCCUCUUUCUGGGAGACUCGCCUUAAAACGAUUGGCAGCCGGCCUACUGGUUUCGGAGCGCAGCACAUAUUUUGCGCUUUGUAUCAGGAGAAAAGGACGGUAAUCCAUCAAGACUCUACAUUUUUAACUUUUGACCUCGGAUCAGGUAGGGAUACCCGCUGAACUUAAGCAUAUCAAUAAGCGGAGGA